rnacentral:rRNA from 1 species
UCAAUAAGCGGAGGAAAAGAAACUAACAAGGAUUCCCUUAGUAACUGCGAGUGAAGAGGGAAAAGCUCAAAUUUAAAAUCUGGCAGUGUUUUGCUGUCCGAGUUGUAACCUAGAGAAGUGUAACCUGCGCUGGACCAUGUACAAGUCUCCUGGAAUGGAGCAUCACAGAGGGUGAGAAUCCCGUCUUUGACAUGGACUACCAGUGCAUUGUGGUUGUGCUCUCAACGAGUCGAGUUGUUUGGGAAUGCAGCUCUAAAUGGGUGGUAAAUUCCAUCUAAAGCUAAAUAUUGGCGAGAGACCGAUAGCGAACAAGUACCGUGAGGGAAAGAUGAAAAGAACUUUGGAAAGAGAGUUAAACAGUAUGUGAAAUUGUUGAAAGGGAAACGUUUGAAGUCAGUCAUGUUAGCUGGGGAUCAGCCUGACAUUUUGUUUGGUGUACUUCCUGGUUGAUGGGCCAACAUCAGUUUUGACUGCCAGAAAAAGGGCAAGGGAAUGUGGCACCUUUGGGUGUGUUAUAGCUCUUGGUCAUAUGUGGUGGUUGGGACUGAGGAAAGCAGUGUGCCAAAAGGCAGGGUAGUUCUACCACAUUCACACUGAGGAUGUUGGCAUAAUGGCUUUAAGCGACC